rnacentral:rRNA from 1 species
GAUGAACGCUGGCGGAAUGCUUUACACAUGCAAGUCGAACGGCAGCACGGGUGCUUGCACCUGGUGGCGAGUGGCGAACGGGUGAGUAAUGCACCGGAACGUAUCCAAUAAUGGGGGAUAACGCACCGAAAGGUGUGCUAAUACCGCAUACGCCCUGAGGGGGAAAGCGGGGGAUCGUAAGACCUCGCGUUAAUGGAGCGGCCGAUGCCGGAUUAGCUAGUUGGUGAGGUAAAGGCUCACCAAGGCGACGAUCCGUAGCUGGUCUGAGAGGACGACCAGCCACACUGGAACU